AACGAACGCUGGCGGCAUGCCUAACACAUGCAAGUCGAACGAGACCUUCGGGUCUAGUGGCGCACGGGUGCGUAACGCGUGGGAACCUGCCCUUAGGUUCGGAAUAACUUCCCGAAAGGGGUGCUAAUACCGGAUAAUGUCUUCGGACCAAAGAUUUAUCGCCUUUGGAUGGGCCCGCGUUGGAUUAGCUAGUUGGUAGGGUAAAAGCCUACCAAGGCGACGAUUCAUAGCUGGUCUGAGAGGAUGAUCAGCCACACUGGGACUGAGACACGGCCCAGACUCCUACGGGAGGCAGCAGUGGGGAAUAUUGGACAAUGGGCGAAAGCCUGAUCCAGCAAUGCCGCGUGAGUGAUGAAGGCCUUAGGGUUGUAAAGCUCUUUUACCCGGGAUGAUAAUGACAGUACCGGGAGAAUAAGCUCCGGCUAACUCCGUG
rnacentral:rRNA from 1 species